rnacentral:lncRNA from 1 species
UUCUUUCUUCCUUCCCCACGCAGGUGCUUAAUACAUUGUUAUCCUCUUAUUGCUAUGAUGAUGAAUUCCGUCCAAGAAAUUAAUAAACCAUUGAGUGAGACGAAAAAAAUGUUAUCUUGGCUACGUAGUUCAUCACACACUGUCCCUGAUAAUACUUGCAUAAUUCAGUAAAGCAACAAAUAAGCCUGGAAGACCAGAGAACAUCCUAUUUAUGGAUCAUUGAAGCUCGCAUCAUCGAGAAUCGGUCCGUCAUGGCUCUCUCCUCCCCUCCCUCGCUCCCUCCCCACGGGACGCCGUCGGCUUGCGGUUCCCCCUCGUCCCCGGCGUCCAAGUCAGAUUCGCUCCCCUGCUCCCUUCUCCCCUCGUGCUCCUCUCCGGGCUAUCCGCCGGCGGCGGGGCCCGAACCCCUCCCACCUGCGUUCCCCCCUCCCUGUCCGGUGGCCCUGGCAGCGCCACGGGCCAACAAGUUCUGGGCCCUUGAUUCCGACGACUCUGGCUCCGAUUCUGAUCCUGAGACUCCCCCUCCUCCUCGCUCGGCAUCGAUGGUUGGGUUGCCUCCGUUAUUGGUGGCGGGCCGUCGGCGCAAGUUUGCUCCGGGGGGUCGGGGCCGGCUGUGUGCGCUUGAUGCGGGCCCGGAUGGAUGGCGUCGUGUUGGCCGUGGGCGCCGGAGCGCCGCUCCCUGGGCGGUGGAUCCUUCUUUGGUGAGCCCGGGGGUGGACGCUAUGGCCUCACCCGUCUCAUCCUCCUCGGUGGCGGUGCCCUCCGGUUCGUCGCCGUCCAGGUGCCUCCCUUCCACGUCGUCGGCGGCGCCGGCGCAAACCCUAGAUCUGGGAUCGGGUCUUGCGUUGGUGCCCCGGUCCGUGGGCCGGGUCCCUCUGGUCGGUGACGGGCCGUGUGGGCCUGUGUCGGCCCCUUCGCUGGAUUCCAUGGCUUAUUUCCCCCCUCGUGUCUGAGUCUGAUGGGCCUAGGCCAACCCAGUUGAGUCCGCCUCCCCCUUCGGCCCUUUCGACAGAGCCCGGCCUGGCUGGCUCCGGCUAUUUAUGGGUCCGAAAGGGGUCGGUUCUCCCUUUUCUAGGGUUUCCUGCCUCCGCUGCUGAUCUGCGACGGCGCCGUUUCCCUAUCCGCCGCUUUGUCAGAUCCAAGCCUCCCCCUCCCCUCCUCCUCCCCUUCUCAUUGGUGGUGGCGAUGGACCGCUCCCGUGGGUCCUCCAGCGACGCUGUCUCCGGCCUCAAGUGGGGGCGGGACGACUCUGGCGACGCCGCUACGGAUCUGGAGUUUGAGGCGUCGCUCCACGCCAAGCUACAGGCUUCGCGGUCGGAGGCGGGUGCCGCUUCGCCCCGUGCGUCUGGUUCCGGGCCGAUGGCUUCUCCGUCCUUGGCGCCCGCAGCUCCGGUGCAUGUGGUCGACCCUUGGGAACAGGCGGCGCGGGGGAGCCGGGCGGGAUCUUCGGGCCCCUCCUCGUCUCCUUCCUCGCUUGCUCCCAUGGGGGGGCCGCCGCGGGCGCCGGCGGCGGGCGGCGGCGGGUCGUCCCGCUUCGUUCCUCGUGGUGGCUCUGGGGCCCCGGCCCGGCGUCCGGUUGGCCCUGCGGCGGGACGUGGUGCUGGCGCGGGUGCCGUCGGUGGUUCUUCUGGAGAUGGCAUCCUCCCUCCGCCGCCUUCUCGUGGUGCGAACCGUAACUCCUCUCACUCCCAGGUUUCUAAUCCCAUCCUCACCUGCUUCGCGUGUCAUCGCCCUGGCCAUUUCCACUCUCGGUGCGAGAACCCUCCUUUCUGUCUCAUCUGUAGGGAGGAUGGACACCUAACGGUGGACUGUCAAAGUAGGAUCAAGCCCCCCUCCUUCGUCCAUUUUGGGAUUGGCCUCCCGGGUUGCUCUUUUUUUGCCAUGGACAAGGAAGUCCCCGCAGCUGCUCCCAUUCCCUCCCUGUCCAACGUGGGUGUCAUUACUGUCCAAGACAAGCGUAUCUCUUCACAAGCCCUCUUGGAUGAACUUCAUAUGUGGGAUGAAGGGGGUUGGGACUGGCAGAUCCGGCAGCUUUCUGAUUUCGAGUUUGCGGCCACUUUCCCCUCUAAAGAGAGUCUUCGCAUGAUGUCUUCCUGUACCAGUUUCACUCUCCCUGUGAAUCAACUUGUUGUAUCGGUCAAAGCGGCUUCCAACGGAUCCAAGACCAUAGCUCCUCUGUCUGAUGUCUGGGUGCUCGUUGAUGAUGUGCCUCCCAGCUUGCGCACCGCGUCCUUCUUGAUGGCUUUUGGGGUGCUUAUCGGGAAACCUAUUGAGGUCGAUCUUGCUUCGCUGUCGGUUCUGGGUCCUGCUCGCCUUCGUGUGUGGUGUGUUGAUCCGAUCUGCAUCCGUGGUUCCGUUGAUGUCUUCCCGGCGGUUGGUGGCUUUCGUCUUCGAGUUCGGGUGGAAGGUGCUCCUGGUGCGGUCGCUCCUCCUCCCCCCCUCCUCCCCCGGCCUCGGGUGACGAUGACAAGAGCCGGGAGGGUGNNNNNNNNNNNNNNNNNNNNNNNNNNNNNNNNNNNNNNNNNNNNNNNNNNNNNNNNNNNNNNNNNNNNNNNNNNNNNNNNNNNNNNNNNNNNNNNNNNNNNNNNNNNNNNNNNNNNNNNNNNNNNNNNNNNNNNNNNNNNNNNNNNNNNNNNNNNNNNNNNNNNNNNNNNNNNNNNNNNNNNNNNNNNNNNNNNNNNNNNNNNNNNNNNNNNNNNNNNNNNNNNNNNNNNNNNNNNNNNNNNNNNNNNNNNNNNNNNNNNNNNNNNNNNNNNNNNNNNNNNNNNNNNNNNNNNNNNNNNNNNNNNNNNNNNNNNNNNNNNNNNNNNNNNNNNNNNNNNNNNNNGGGGGGGGGGGGUCCUGAGGACUCGCUGAAUGGCACGGAUCCCCGAUUCACCCAGUCUGCGUGGGAUGGGCUUUCUCCUGCUGAGUAGGAGCUGAUGAAGGACUGUGCUCCGGCUCCGGCGGGUGGUGGGGUUCAGGGCUCGGUGCCUGGUACGGUGGCUGGUCCUGCGGCCGCGGCUGCUUCGAAGGGCACCCCCUUGUCGGGGGCGUGCUCCAACAUGCCCGUGCGCCCCACCUCCCCCUCGCUGUCCGGCAUUGAAGAUCUACCUCCAGUGGGACCUUCGGCGGCCAAGAAAAGGAAGAAGUCCUCGGUGAAGAAGUUUUCCGCGAAGAGCCGGGCAUUGGGGGACUCCAGGCAGUCGGCGGCUGGGCUCUGCCGCCGUCUGGAGGCGGACCUGGGGGCGGCUUCGGGCCCUUCUUCGGCGGCGACUUCCCCUGGUCGGCCCCCUCCGGUCCCUGUGCGCUCUCCUGCCUCGACCGCUCGCAAGAGUGGCCGCGUCUCCAACAGUGGCGAGCGCGUGGUGGAUCAGGCGGCUCGGCGUGCAGUGGCGCGUGAUCUUCCCCCCUCAGGUUUGGAUUCACCCUCAUCUCCUUCCCCCCCCUUUGGCUCAGUCUCCUGUUAGGCUUGUUUUACCCUCCCAUUCCGAUGAACAUCUCCUUUCGAUAUUAGCUGAUGUUGGGAUAUGUCUAGACGCUAGGGUGGGUUCUCCCUCCUCUCUGUUGCAGUUGAUUCGUGCUAAUGAACGUGCUCAGGCUGAUAUCGCCAAGGCCAGGGAGGCCGGGACUGGGAUGGAUGCCCCUCUGGUUGUGGCCGGAGGGGAACCGGGCGUGGUUGCUAGGGGGCAGCUGUCUCCGGUGCAGAAGCGCGGGGCCGGGAAAUGUGCUAAAACCUGCAAGGCUCCGUGCAGGUCGAGCUUGAGAAUUAAAAACCUUUCCCUAAGAUGAAGGCCCUGUUUUGGAACAUUAGAGGGUUCUGCGCUAGGGGGCGCAGAGACCAACUGAAGGACUUAAUGCGCGCUGAAAGAAUUGAUUUUAUCGGGCUUGUUGAGACUCUUAAACCCUCCUUUUCUCCUUCUGAACUAUCGGCGAUUGCUGGGAUUGAUAGAUUUAGGUGGAAUUUCGUGGCCUCUGUUGGUCAGUCCGGCGGCUUUCUUCUGGGCACCAAUAAUGUCACCUUUGAUUUUGUGGCUUUCGACCAUGGUAUAUACUGGGCUAGUAUGGUAGUUUCCCUACGUCCAAUAACACCCUCCUUGAACUUAUGGUAGUAUAUGGUCCGGCUGAUCAUUCCUUGUCACAAAUUUUCUUGGAUGAGAUUUUUACUAAAAUUGAUUCCUGCCAACUGCCACUCCUGAUUGGGGGUGAUUUUAAUCUGCUUCGGUAUCCUUCUGAUAAGAGUUCUGUCAAUUUCUCCUGGGUUCGGGCCAAGGCUUUUAAUGCUUUCAUCAGGGACAUGGCUAUCCGUGAGAUCCCGAGGGUUGGGGCCCGCUACACUUGGACCAACCGACAGACUUGUCCUAUUCGCUCGGUUCUUGAUAGAGUUUUUAUCUGCCCUGCUUGGGAUGGCCUUUUUCCUCGCUGCUCACUUCGGGCCCUCCCCAUCGUCGGAUCCGAUCACGCUCCUCUCAUCCUUGACGAUGGUCUCUGCCCCAAUGGCUUCCAAAGAUUUCAAUUUGACGCGUCCUGGCUUUUAGUGGAAGGGUUCCCUGAUAUGCUGGAUCAGAAGAUCUUGGGCUUUCUUACCUCCCCCCAUCGUUCAUUUGUCCCUAUGGAUGACUGGCAUUAUGUUUCUUACUCCCUACGCAAGUUCCUUAGAGGAUGGGCCAAGAAUCACUUUGCUGAGUCGAGGCGCGACAAAUCUAGGUUGAGUGCUCAAAUUAGUGCCCUCGACUCCCGUGCGGACAACGGUGGGCUCUCGGCUACUGAGUGGCAAGUUCGCUAUGGCCUUGAGAAGGAGCUUCUGGCUAUUCAUCGCCAAGAGGAAGUGUAUUGGAAGCAAAGGGGUACGAUUAAUUGGACUCUUAAGGGUGAUUCUCCCACGGCUUACUUUUUCACCAUUGCGAAUGGCAGACGGCGUAGAUGUUUGAUUAACAGCCUCAUUAUUGAUGGUGUUAGGGUCUCUGAACCGCCGGUUAUUCUCCGUCAUGUAGUUCGGUUCUUCUCUAACCUGCUUUCGGCUAAACCAGACCUCGGAUUCGCGCUAGCCCCGGGCUUCUGGGCUCCCCUUGAUAGGAUUUCUCACGCUGAUAAUGAGCUUCUGUUGAUUCCCCCUUCUGAGGAGGAAAUUUUUGAUAUUAUUCGGACGGCUAAUUCUAAUGUGGCUUCAGGCCCUGAUGGUUUCUCCAUUCCGUUCUUUCGACAAUUCUGGCCCCAACUAAAAGGUCUAAUUUCUGCUGUCAUCCAAGGGUAUUGGCUGGGAUCGGUUGACAUUUCUAGACUUAACUAUGCGGUUCUCUCCCUCAUCCCUAAGGUCAAGGGUGCGGAUAUGAUUUCUCAAUUUAGGCCGAUUGCUUUAAUCAACAACUUCGCAAAGAUGCCUGCAAAGGGCAUGGCCACUAGGCUAUCUCCCAUUGCACAUCGGACCAUUAGCCCUUUCCAGUCUACUUUCAUCAAAGGGAGGUUGAUUUUGGACGGGGUACUUUGUUUACAUGAGAUUGUUCAUGAUUUACGGGUGCGAGGGACCAAGGCUGUGGUUCUCAAACUUGACUUUGAAAAGGCCUACGACUCGGUUAGCUGGAAAUUCCUUCGGCAAGUUCUUUUGGCUAAGGGCUUUGAGGGGCCUGUUAUGCAGCGCUUGAUGCAAUUGGUUUCUGGGGGGCACACGGCUGUGGCUGUCAAUGGUCAAAUUAGCCAGUUUUCUGCUAAUGGCAGGGGCCUCAGGCAAGGGGAUCCAGCGUCCCCUUUACUCUUCAACUUUGUGGCUGAUGCUCUAUCUCGCAUUCUCUCUCGAGCUGCCUUGGCUGGUCAUAUCACUCCGGUGAGCUCUCAUCUCAUCCCUAAUGGCAUCUCUCAUCUCCAAUAUGCGGAUGAUACUAUAAUUCUGAUGGAACUUAAUGAUAAUAGUCUCACCAAUCUGAAAUUCCUUCUGCUUUGUUUCGAAGCGCUCUCAGGUCUUAAAAUCAAUUUCUCUAAGAGUGAGGUUGUAGUGACUGGGGUCUCGGACGAAGAGGCGCAGCGGGUGGCCCAUCUUCUGAACUGCUCUUUGGGAUCCUACCCUCUCAAAUAUCUAGGCCUCCCCAUUUCCCCGCUUAAACUUUUGGCUAAAGACUUCGCUCAGGUGGUUACCAAAGUUGGCAACAGAGUUCUCCCUUGUCGAGGACGAUAUAAUACGCAAGCGGGCAAGGUCGCCCUUACUAACUCCUGUCUUUCUUCGCUACCUAUGUUCUUAAUGGGAUUCUAUCUUCUCUCUAGUGGGGUUCAUAAUGGUUUUGACAAGCAUAGGGGUGCUUUCUAUUGGAACGCAGCGGACAAUAAACGUAAGUACAGGAUGGUCAGAUGGGACAUUAUAUGUCGCCCCAAGGCCAAAGGGGGUCUGGGCAUUAUUAAUACGCGAGUGAUGAAUAAUUGUCUUAUGAUCAAAUAGUGGUGGAAGAUCAUGACUCUUGAGGAACUGCCACCCUGGCUCUCUAUCCUAAAAGCUAAAUAUUUCCCCUCCUCGAGUCCUAUGUUCGCGCCAGCUGCGGGUGGGUCGCAAUUUUGGCAUCAACUGGUUAAAGUCCGGCCGAUCUUUCGGUCCCUUGUAAAAUUUGUAGUUAGGAACGGUAAGUCUACGCGGUUUUGGCUUGAUCGGUGAGUCGGGGACUCCACGCUGGCUGUUGCUUUUCCGGUUCUAUUUUCAUAUUGCGGUGAUACUGAGGUUUCUAUCUUUGAGCUCUCGGCUGGGGGUUGGGUUCUGGAUUUUCGUCGUUCUCUUUCUCCUGAAGAGUUGGAAGAUUGGCAGCGCCUUACUGCUUGCUUCCCCCUGCUCUCGGAGGAAGAGGAUGCCGUGGUGUGGCCCCUCUCCUCUUCGGGGCGUUUUUCGGUUAAAUCUGCUUACUCCAAGCUUAUCCCUGGGGGGCGCCCGGUCAAGUUUAAGCAUGUCUGGUCGGCUCGAAUUCCUCCUAAGAUCAAGAUAUUUCUCUGGCAAGCUGUCCGGAGUAAGCUUCCGGCGGCCGAUCAGAUUAAGAAAAGAAACGGGCCGGGGUCCGACAGGUGUGUGCUUUGUGGGGCACUGGAGAACACCGAGCAUAUUUUCUUUCACUGCUCCUUAGCUAAACUUAUGUGGAGUUGCAUCAGACUCUGGUUACAUGCAAAUUGGUCCCCUUCCUCCAUUGAAGACCUGAGGCAUUAUGUCAAUCUUCUUUCUGGCCAUUCUAAAAGAGUCUUCUUAGUUGGGUGGGCUGCGAUUGGCUGGUCGUUGUGGACUACUAGGAAUAAGUUCUCGAUUGAACAUAUUUUUCCGGCUAAUCCUGUCAAUUGCUUAUUUAAAGCCAAUGGUUUCUUGCAGCAGUGGGGAUUAUUGACUAAAGAAGGGGACCUCCAGGCCUUCGACGCCAUGCUAUCCAAGAUGAAAUCUACGACGUCUUGGCUUCUUCGGCUUUCUUUGAGGACGGCUUCCUGAAUGCUCUUUUGGUCUUUGGUUUAGGCUGGCUUGCGUGCCAUGUAAGGCCGCUGGCCUUGUAAUGAUACUUUAUCUUCUGCGCGUGAUACUUUGUUGGGUGCUGUUGUUGGUCAUAUACUCUGCCUGGUGGCUUUAUCUAUAAAGUCGGGCUCUCGCCUUUUCUCUAAAAAAAAAGAACAUCCUAUUUAUUGCACUUUAAAUUUACAAGGAUUGCAAUUACCGGUCGAGCCAUGCCUGUGGAUUUUUCCUUCUCAUUUUAAAAGGGGGACUAUUGAAUGAUUCUUCUGGGAUUCAAAAGAAAAUGGCACCCCUGAGUGUGUUUUCAU